AUGAUAACCCUUCUUCUUCAACCAAAAAUGCAACAGUGUGAUCAACAAAACUCCUCUGCCGCUGGAUCAACUCCUCUGAUCAUCUCCGUCCUUACUCCGCUCAUCGUCUUCCCUCUUGAUUCUUCUUUUUUUGCAUCUUCGUAUGCGAUUCGGUUUUGCCUCCCUCAACUACACACAUCGCUAGCCACAAAUGUGACUUCUGAUCAUCACCUUUCAUACUCUUCUCAUCGUCUUCCCUUCCGACGACAUCCGUUUGUUUCAAAGACACCGUGA